rnacentral:lncRNA from 1 species
GAGCUUCUCCUCUGCACGGAAUUCUCGGAGAGCCCGUCUGCCACACCGCACCCCGUGCUGAAGCAUGAGCACCCCUCCAGGGUGAAAAGCUUGAUUGUGUAGAAAGCCUAUUGGGGAAACUCAAAUGCAUGGAGUUCAGGCUGUGAUGCAGACAGUGAUUCCAAGGAAAUGACCCACCACUUUGGGGUCCUCUGCCCCAGCCAGCCCAGCCCCCACAGAACCCAGAGCCCAACACAUGUAGUUGAAAGUCUCACUGCAGCCCAGGCCUGGCUGAAAGGCCCCCGCCCUGGAGCCCUGCGGCUCCUCCCUCCGGACCCGAGGAGAGGCUGGGCGAACCCUCGGCCGAUGCUGGUGCCCCUGAGCCCCGGCUGUGUUCCGGGCGUACUGCGGGCCGGGAGGCGCCUUUCACGGUUCAUGCAGGCCAUGCCGCGGCGUGGCGAAGCUGACUGCGCGCCAGGUGGCCACGGCCUUCGAUCUGUCCCGCUUCUCCUCCGCCUGCGACGUGGGAGAGUAGCUGCUGUAGCACCAGCCAUUGUGUCUGUAUCCCCAUGGCAGGAAGGAGAAGGGAGGAGUACAGCCCCCACCUCUGGGCUGGAAGGAUUUCCCUGCAGGUCUGUGCCCCCACACGUGGCCCAGAGUGGCUGCUGUAGCACCGGCCAUUGUGCCCCCACACGUGGCCCAGAGUGGCUGCUGUAGCACCGGCCAUUGUGCCCCCACACGUGGCCCAGAGUGGCUGCUGUUGCACCGACCAUCGUGUAUACAUCCCCAUGGCAGGAAGGAGAAGGGAGGAGUACAGUGUACACCCCUGGGCUGGAAGGAUUUCCCUGCAGGUCUGUGCCCCCGCACUCACCUGCUUGCACAGUCUUGUCUGGGACCCCAGCGAACUCCCCACCACUGGCUUUUGUAGCAUGGGUCUCAAUUGCCAUGCCACCGGUAUGACUUCUGCGGUUGAGCUGUGGAAGUGCGUCCAGCGUUCGUAGGCACCAGGGCAACCGGCCGCAGAAGCGUCACAUUGCUUCCCGCGGGCUGCACAGGGGCACUGGCCCGAGCUGGCGUACCGUCUCCGCGUGACUAUGUUUGACCUCCCGGACGUCGUCGGGCUGGCCGUCCACUUCCAGCCGCCGGACCGCAGGCAGCGCCAGAUCCGCCGCCAGCAGGUGAGCCUUCCUGCGCCCUGCGUUUUCCAGGCUCCGUCAUCUCUUUCCAGACAGA